CAACUCGCCUGCGUGAAGCCGGAAUUGCUAGUAAUCGCGGAUCAGCAUGCCGCGGUGAAUACGUUCCCGGGCCUUGUACACACCGCCCGUCACACCAUGAGAGCCGGGGGGACCCGAAGUCCGUAGCCUAACCGCAAGGAGGGCGCGGCCGAAGGUAAACUGGUGAUUGGGGUGAAGUCGUAACAAGGUAGC
rnacentral:rRNA from 1 species